rnacentral:tRNA from 1 species
GAAUGUACUAAAAGUUAGCUUCUAACUAACUAGUAUGAUAUUUUUAUCAUUACAUUCU